rnacentral:rRNA from 1 species
UGCUGUGGUAGGCCAUGUCUUACCAAACCUCCAUCUUGUCAGAUCUCAAAAGCUAAGCGGGGCCGGGGCUGAUUAGUACUUGGAUGGGAGACCACCGGAAAUUCCAGUUGUCACAGUAG